UACGUAGGGGGCAAGCGUUGUCCGGAUUUACUGGGCGUAAAGCGCGUGUAGGCGGCUAUGCAAGUCGGGUGUGAAAUCCCACGGCUCAACCGUGGAAGUGCACUCGAAACUACGUAGCUGGAGUUCUGGAGAGGAAGGUGGAAUGCUCGGUGUAGAGGUGAAAUUCGUAGAUAUCGAGAGGAACACCGGUGGCGAAGGCGGCCUUCUGGACAGUGACUGACGCUGAGACGCGAAAGCGUGGGGAGCAAACAGG
rnacentral:rRNA from 1 species